UCAGGAUGAACGCUGGCGGCGUGCCUAACACAUGCAAGUCGAGGGGCAGCAUGAACUUAGCUGCUAAGUCGAUGGCGACCGGCGCACGGGUGAGUAACGCGUAUCCAACCUGCCCCAUAGUCAGGGACAGCCCGGCGAAAGUCGGAUUAAUACCUGAUGUUCUCCCUUGAGGGCCUCUGACGGGGAGCAAAGAUUCAUCGCUAUGGGAUGGGGAUGCGUAGGAUUAGGCAGUCGGCGGGGUAACGGCCCACCGAGCCGACGAUCCUUAGGGGUUCUGAGAGGAAGGUCCCCCACACUGGUACUGAGACACGGACCAGACUCCUACGGGAGGCAGCAGUGAGGAAUAUUGGUCAAUGGGCGGUAGCCUGAACCAGCCAAGUAGCGUGCAGGAAGACGGCCCUACGGGUUGUAAACUGCUUUUGCCGGGGGAUAACUGGCGCCACGCGUGGCGCCUUGCAGGUACCCGGCGAAUAAGGACCGGCUAAUUCCGUGCCAGCCGCUGC
rnacentral:rRNA from 1 species